GACGAACGCUGGCGGCGUGCCUAAUACAUGCAAGUUGAGCGAUGAAGAUUGGUGCUUGCACCAAUUUGAAGAGCAGCGAACGGGUGAGUAACGCGUGGGGAAUCUGCCUUUGAGCGGGGGACAACAUUUGGAAACGAAUGCUAAUACCGCAUAACAACUUUAAACAUAAGUUUUAAGUUUGAAAGAUGCAAUUGCAUCACUCAAAGAUGAUCCCGCGUUGUAUUAGCUAGUUGGUGAGGUAAAGGCUCACCAAGGCGAUGAUACAUAGCCGACCUGAGAGGGGGAUCGGCCACAUUGGGACUGAGACACGGCCCAAACUCCUACGGGAGGCAGCAGUAGGGAAUCUUCGGCAAUGGACGAAAGUCUGACCGAGCAACGCCGCGUGAGUGAAGAAGGUUGUCGGAUCGUAAAACUCUGUUGGUAGAGAAGAACGUUGGUGAGAGUGGAAAGCUCAUCAAGUGACGGUAACUACCCAGAAGGGGACGGCUAACUACGUG
rnacentral:rRNA from 1 species